rnacentral:rRNA from 1 species
GACGAACGCUGGCGGCGUGCUUAACACAUGCAAGUCGAACGGAGCGAAUGAAAGCUUGCUUUUAUGAGCUUAGUGGCAAACGGGUGAGUAACACGUAGACAACCUGCCGACAGGAUGGGGACAACAUUCCGAAAGGAAUGCUAAUACCGAAUGAAGUCAGAGGAGGGCAUCCUCCUCUGAUGGAAGAUGGCCUCUUUUUAUGCUAUCACCUGUUGAUGGGUCUGCGUCUGAUUAGCUAGUUGGUGAGGUAACGGCUCACCAAGGCGACGAUCAGUAGCCGGUCUGAGAGGAUGAACGGCCACAUUGGGACUGAGACACGGCCCAGACUCCUACGGGAGGCAGCAGUGGGGGAUCUUCCGCAAUGGGCGCAAGCCUGACGGAGCAACGCCGCGUGAGUGAAGAAGGUCUUCGGAUCGUAAAGCUCUGUUGACGGGGAC